AAAAACGUGUCAUGUGGCCGUCAACAUUACUUAUUAACGGUGAACGUCCCAUUGUGACAUGAGAACCAACAUUGCACGAGGAUCACAUUUACAAUUUUGCCUUUUAAAAAAGACAACGGUUGAGAUUUGUCAAAUUUUAUUUUUUUAUUAUUUUGUAUGGUUUAAUUUAUUUAAUUAAAAAAUAAUUACAACAACAAAAAGUCUGAAACACCCUUCAUCCUCAACAAUCGAAUUGUCGUCCCCCUCUGCCUUGGUGGCACCACCGUGGUUGGACUUCCCCAAUUGGGCCUUCUUUCUAUCGACCUCCUUUUCCCUUUUCGCCACAUUCAACUCCUCUGUAGCCGUUGUUGUCCUCGCCUCCGAAAAGGUGAAAACCCUCCAUCGUGCUUCCUCCUUCAUGGCCAAACAUGAGCACUGCUACCAUGGAGGCGAGACUCAGCGUCGGAUGAUAACGGCAAACCUCCAACUUUGAUAAUAACAAAAAUCAACAAAAGCACAAACCAGGAACGAAGUUGUCCAGAAAAAUAGGUUUAUGAAUUCACACGAUUUGGUUUAUGUUAAUGCCAAAUUCAUUUUUUUUAAAAUAAUUGAUCUCUUGAAAAAUUUGUUUACACUAAUUGAGUAGGAGUGGUCAAGUAGUAGAGCGGAAUCGAGAUUUGGAACCAGGUAAGGCUUUCACAACUUUUUUGGAAAAUUGUAGCUCCGUUAAAUGUUCCUCGGGCAACUGAAUUUUUCAUAACCCAAAAAUUCUCUUCCCGUUGACAACAACAUGUCGAACCCAAUUGAUAUGCUUUCUUUUGAUAAGUUUGUUGUUACCAGAUAAAUAAAAUGGCGUUUUGUGUUUUGUUCCCAUGCAUCAAAAAUUUGUUCAGAAAAAUUGAAGGUGGGGUUAUGCAUCGAAGAAGGAGGGUCAUGGUUGAACUGGAAGGAAGGAGACAAUGGGAGCUC
rnacentral:lncRNA from 1 species